GACAGCAGUAGCCGCGGUAAUACAGAGGGUGCGAGCGUUAAUCGGAUUUACUGGGCGUAAAGCGUGCGUAGGCGGCUUCUUAAGUCGGAUGUGAAAUCCCUGAGCUUAACUUAGGAAUUGCAUUCGAUACUGGGAAGCUAGAGUAUGGGAGAGGAUGGUAGAAUUCCAGGUGUAGCGGUGAAAUGCGUAGAGAUCUGGAGGAAUACCGAUGGCGAAGGCAGCCAUCUGGCCUAAUACUGACGCUGAGGUACGAAAGCAUGGGGAGCAAACAGGAUUAGAGACCCGCGUAGUCCCUGUCUCUUAUAC
rnacentral:rRNA from 1 species